UACGUAGGGCGCAAGCGUUAUCCGGAAUUAUUGGGCGUAAAGAGCUCGUAGGCGGUGUGUCGCGUCGGCCGUGAAAACCUGGGGCUUAACUCUGGGCUUGCGGUCGAUACGGGCAUCACUGGAGUUCGGCAGGGGAGACUGGAAUUCCUGGUGUAGCGGUGAAAUGCGCAGGUAUCAGGAGGAACACCGGUGGCGAAGGCGGGUCUCUGGGCCGAUACUGACGCUGAGGAGCGAAAGCGUGGGGAGCGAACAGG
rnacentral:rRNA from 1 species